rnacentral:rRNA from 1 species
AGGGUUUGAUCAUGGCUCAGGACGAACGCUGGCGGUGCGCCUUAUGCAUGCAAGUCGAGCGAAGCUUUUCAGUAGUUUACUACAGAAAAUGACUGAGCGGCGAACGGGUGAGUAACGCGUGAGCAAUCUACCUUAGUUACAGGGAUAGCCCGAGGAAACUCGGAUUAAUACCUGAUAUUCUUUAUUUCUCACAUGAGAAUAAAAGGGAAGGUCAGCCGAACUAAGAUGAGCUCGCGUUCUAUCAGCUUGUUGGUGAGGUAAAAGCUUACCAAGGCUACGACGGAUAGCUGGUCUGAGAGGACGAUCAGCCACACUGGGACUGAGACACGGCCCAGACUCCUACGGGAGGCUGCAGCAGGGAAUAUUGUGCAAUGAACGAAAGUUUGACACAGCGACACCGCGUGUGGGAUGACGGAUCUAGGUUUGUAAACCACUUUCAGGAGGGAAGAAAAUGACGGUACCUCCACAAGAAGCCCCGGCCAACUACGUGCCAGCCGCCGCGGUAAUA